CCUACGGGGGGCUGCAGUGGGGAAUAUUGGACAAUGGGCGAAAGCCUGAUCCAGCCAUGCCGCGUGUGUGAAGAAGGCCUUCGGGUUGUAAAGCACUUUCAGUGGGGAAGAAAGCCUUGGGGCUAAUACCCUCGAGGAAGGACAUCACCCACAGAAGAAGCACCGGCUAACUCCGUGCCAGCAGCCGCGGUAAUACGGAGGGUGCGAGCGUUAAUCGGAAUUACUGGGCGUAAAGCGCGCGUAGGCGGUCUGAUAAGCCGGUUGUGAAAGCCCCGGGCUCAACCUGGGAACGGCAUCCGGAACUGUCAGGCUAGAGUGCAGGAGAGGAAGGUAGAAUUCCCGGUGUAGCGGUGAAAUGCGUAGAUAUCGGGAGGAAUACCAGUGGCGAAGGCGGCCUCCUGGACUAAUACUGACGCUGAGGUGCGAAAGCGUGGGUAGCAAACAGGAUUAGAUACCCGAGUAGUC
rnacentral:rRNA from 1 species